rnacentral:rRNA from 1 species
UACGGAGGGAGCUAGCGUUAUUCGGAAUUACUGGGCGUAAAGCGCACGUAGGCGGCUUUGUAAGUUAGAGGUGAAAGCCCGGGGCUCAACUCCGGAAUUGCCUUUAAGACUGCAUCGCUUGAAUCCGGGAGAGGUGAGUGGAAUUCCGAGUGUAGAGGUGAAAUUCGUAGAUAUUCGGAAGAACACCAGUGGCGAAGGCGGCUCACUGGACCGGUAUUGACGCUGAGGUGCGAAAGCGUGGGGAGCAAACAGG